AUUGAACGCUGGCGGCAUGCCUUACACAUGCAAGUCGAACGGCAGCACGGGAGCAAUCCUGGUGGCGAGUGGCGAACGGGUGAGUAAAGUAUCGGAACGUGCCCAGUCGUGGGGGAUAACGUAGCGAAAGUUACGCUAAUACCGCAUACGAUCUAUGGAUGAAAGCGGGGGAUCGCAAGACCUCGCGCGAUUGGAGCGGCCGAUAUCAGAUUAGGUAGUUGGCGGGGUAAAGGCUCACCAAGCCGACGAUCUGUAGAUGGUCUGAGAGGACGACCAGCCACACUGGGACUGAGACACGGCCCAGACUCCUACGGGAGGCAGCAGUGGGGAAUUUUGGACAAUGGGCGAAAGCCUGAUCCAGCCAUGCCGCGUGCAGGAUGAAGGCCUUCGGGUUGUAAACUGCUUUUGUACGGAACGAAAAGGUUUGGCCUAAUAAGCUGAGCUCAUGACGGUACCGUAAGAAUAAGCACCGGCUAACUACGUGCCAGCCGCCGCAGUAA
rnacentral:rRNA from 1 species